UACGGAGGGUGCAAGCGUUAUCCGGAUUCACUGAGGUUAAAGGGUGCGUAGGCGGGCAGGUAAGUCAGUGGUGAAAUCUCCGAGCUUAACUCGGAAACUGCCAUUGAUACUAUUUGUCUUGAAUAUUGUGGAGGUAAGCGGAAUAUGUCAUGUAGCGGUGAAAUGCUUAGAUAUGACAUAGAACACCAAUUGCGAAGGCAGCUUACUACACAAUGAUUGACGCUGAGGCACGAAAGCGUGGGGAUCAAACAGG
rnacentral:rRNA from 1 species